rnacentral:ribozyme from 11 species
CGCGUGGGAGGGCGCCCGGGCGAGGUCUGAGUGCUGCGCCACCAUCAGCCCACGCGGGGCUGUCGGAGAGGGGAACCGACUGAACUAUCAGCGAAGCACGCUCGGGCUCACGAGGGGCGCCCAAGGCGGGAGUGUUCAUGGUUGAGGUGAGCGCCUGUUCCGCCAGGCUGAGGGCGUUCUGGGACUCGCGGA